rnacentral:tRNA from 1 species
CAGAUUAAACUUGAAGUUAAAGGCUUUCAUUUACACUGAAAUUAUUUAUCGUGCGAUUCGAUAUAAUCUGA